rnacentral:snRNA from 1 species
AUUGCUUCUGGGCCUUUUGGCUAAGAUCAAGUGUAGCAGACAGCUCCAAAAUUCUGAAGUUAAUUUUUUUCACUCACUACUAAAUCGGUCUUGUAUCUUGUUUAUUCUCGUACUCUAAUUCAUGGGAACCUCUA